GUAUGGACACAUUGUUACAAAACAUGUACCUGAUCCUGGACUAACUGAAGUCAGUUGGAGUUUUGCCGUUGACUUCGUGGAUGCACAAACCGCCUCAUGUUGGCACACUAGCUGAGUAAAACCAUACUGUUGUCAGAACAUGUUGUGCAGCCAGUUCUCUUUGGGUGAUCUCUUUGUAUAUUAUAGAUCACUUUUUUGCCUUUGGCUCAGCUUGCUUCUGCAUUUGUUCUUGCAUGGAGAAAGAAAGAAAGUCACCACAUGGUAUAGUCUCAGAGAUGGACAGUGCUGCAGCAGAUCCCUGCCUGAAGGCACUCUACCAACACAGAACCAAGAAAUAGUCCUGCCCCAAAGCACUUACAAUGUAAGUAUAAGACAAGAGACAGAAACAGACCGACCGAUGGAGUCCAAGCAAGCAAUGAGACAGUAUUGAUCAGCUUGAUGAGCAGUGGUCUCAGCACAGAGUUCUUUUGUCAGUACUAAUUUUGUUCAGCCCGUGGGCAAGUGAAGUAUUGGUGUGUGGCCAACAGAGGUCUCUGGAACAAAUAGGAAGGGAAUCUCCAUGAGUAGAAAUACCGAGUGAAAAAUGUAAGAAGAAAACAUCCAUGGGAAAAUGAAAAUUGCUCGGGUGUCUUCUAGUAGUGCAAUGGAGUGUGAUUCACAGGUUUUUCUUUUGCUAGUUUCCAUGCAUGUGGCUUCAGUGGUGUUUGCUGUUGAAAAAGUAUAUGUAAGUAAAGGUAAAUCUAACAUACCAUUUUUUCCAAAUAAAAGCACCCUGUAUCCAGUCCAGGACAU